GACGAACGCUGGCGGCGUGCCUAAUACAUGCAAGUAGAACGCUGAAGGAGGAUCUUGCUUCUCUGGAUGAGUUGCGAACGGGUGAGUAACGCGUAGGGAACCUCCCUCGUAGCGGGGGAUAACUAUUGGAAACGAUAGCUAAUACCGCAUAAGAGUAGUUGUUGCAUGACAUUUGCUUAAAAGGUGCACUUUCAUCACUACCAGAUGGACCUGCGUUGUAUUAGCUAGUUGGUGAGGUAACGGCUCACCAACGCGACGAUACAUAGCCGACCUGAGAGGGUGAUCGGCCACACUGGGACUGAGACACGGCCCAAACUCCUACGGGAGGCAGCAGGAGGGAAUCUUCGGCAAUGGACGGAAGUCUGACCGAGCAACGCCGCGUGAGUGAAGAAGGGUUUCGGAUCGUAAAACUCUGUUGUUAGAGAAGAACGAGUGUGAGAGUGGAAAGUUCACACAGUGACGGUAUCUUACCAGAAAGGGACGGCUAACUACGUG
rnacentral:rRNA from 1 species